CUCGAGCGCCUGUUGCGGGCAGAUAUAGUGCACGUGAGUGUCGAUGCCUCCGGCGGUGAUAAUCUUCCCCUCUCCAGCAACGACAUCGGUGCAGCUACCGACUAUCAUGUUGGGCGUGACGCCCUCCAUGACAUCUGGGCUACCCGCCUUGCCGAUGCCGACAAUCAUACCGUCCUUGACGCCAAUAUCGGCCUUGUAUAUACCGGUCCAAUCGACUAUCAGGGCGUUGGUGACCACCAUAUCGAGUGUCUCCGCGUCCGAACGGCCUGUGGCCUGACCCAUGCCUUCGCGCAG
rnacentral:sRNA from 1 species